AUAUACGGUCAUAUCACGUUGAAAGCACCGGUUCUUGUCCAAUCACCGAAGUUAAGCAACGUCGAGCCUAGUUAGUACUUAGAUGGAUGACCGCUUGAGAAACCUAGGUGCUGUAAGCA
rfam:Octopus bimaculoides Scaffold20299_contig_229, whole genome shotgun sequence.